rnacentral:lncRNA from 14 species
GUGCAAUUCAGGCUGAUGUUUCUCUUCUGGAAUUGUAUCUCCCCAUUGAACACAGCUACCAUAUGGAACCCUGUACAUCUCUGUCUUUGCUACAGGUAGCAACUGUGGAUGAAUGUCUCUCACCUGUCAGCAUUUGUUAGCUUGAUCAGUUUACAUGCUCCGUGGGAACCAGCAAGAGAUACUGAUGGAUCAUUCACCCAUCAGAAUUAGCUGCAAGCUAUCCCAGACAUGCUGAUGGAUGAAUGGGGGAAACCAGAGUGGAUCUCUUCCUUUCUACCUUCAAUAUGGAGCAAGUAACUUGAUCACUGCAGUGGGGCUUCAUGGCAGUAUGCCUCCUGACAGAGCAUUUCAAAACUCGGAAACCACACACCUUUGUGGAGCACACUGGAAGCAAUUGUCUAGGAAUACACUGUGGUUUAGAAAAGUAUUAAUUUUCAUGAUUUGUAGGACUCACCAAAGGAAUUAGCAACCAGAAAAUCAUCAGUAAAUUGUCAAAACUUCUCCCAAAAUCAGGAAGGCAAUUCCCAGGCAAGAGGAUAAUUAAACACAGACUCUCCCUGCUUUAUUAUGGCACCAGUCUUGUAAUGGGAAGUCUGAGAUCUAGUCUCAAGGCUGCCAAAGGCUUCCCUUGAUUCUCAGCCCUCCUGACUGCAGCUGCAGGGCCAGGACAUUUAUAUCAUGUUUGCCUCAGCGACUGGAGCACCAAGUUAAAAAAUAUCUGCAGAUCUCUUAGAAAGCACUGGUGAGAAAAAGGUCUAAGUGCAGUGCAUAAUCUGCUCACUGAGAACCUCUCCAACACCAGAUAGCUUUGAAACUGUCCAGAAGAAUCAGACAGGUUUCUUCUGAGAAGCACCCUAGAGAAAGCCUAGGUCCCAAGGGAGAAAGCUUGUUUUUCACCUCUAUCAACCCCUUUAGAAAGGAAAGGCCUCCUGGAUUCAAGGCCAUCAUUUUGAUGGACCCUGCUCUAUAAAACCCUUCAUGGUUUGGGAGCUGCAUAUUACAGGAGACCCCCUCUUCACUGGAAUCAGCCCAUGUAAAAAAAAAUGCUACAGUGGUGUUAUAUCCAUGCUUUGUGAAAAUACAAACAUCAAACCAAUGUGCACAGAAAUGUGGCUGGAGGGGACGGACAGAUGGUCAGGCAGUGGCCAAAAUUAAGUAAAUUUAGCCUUCCCCCCCCAGUAUUUCUUUCAUCUCUAUCUUCAUUAACCUGAAAACACACUAUUCUUUAUCUAAAAUUCUCUUCUUCACAAGCAAACAAAAAAGCAUGUAUGUUACAGAACACAAUUUUAAUACCCAUUUCUGAAACUCCUGUGCCUCCUUUAUUCCUAAACACUGUAAACAUAUCCCGGUAUAUUUAUAUGCACUGACAGCAACCUGACACCAGUACUUAAAAAUAAACCAAAUAGGAAUUGCA